rnacentral:rRNA from 1 species
UACGAAGGUGGCAAGCGUUGUUCGGAUUUACUGGGCGUACAGGGAGCGUAGGCGGUUGGAUAAGCCCUCCGUGAAAUCUCCAGGCUUAACCUGGAAAGUGCAGAGGGGACUGUUCAGCUAGAGGAUGGGAGAGGAGCGCGGAAUCCCCGGUGUAGCGGUGAAAUGCGUAGAGAUCGGGAGGAAGGCCGGUGGCGAAGGCGGCGCUCUGGAACAUUUCUGACGCUGAGGCUCGAAAGCGUGGGGAGCAAACAGG